UGUAGUUACUACUUUGUAGUUUAAAUUUCUAGGUAGAAUUAUGAUGAUGACAUUAUCUAUCUAUAGGUCUUGACCAAAUUACGUGCCAGCAGUCGCGGUAAUACGUAGAAGACAAGUGUUAUUCAUCUUUAUUAGGUUUAAAGAGUACCAAGACGGUUAAUAAAGCCCAAAAUACAUGAGCACAGGGGACACAUUAACUAGAGUUAUAUGAAAGGAAGCAUUAAGGUACUGUUGAGUGUAGAGAUAAAAUUCAGUCAUACCAGAUGAAAGGCACAGAUUUAUGCGAAGGCAUCUUCUUAUGUAAUAACUGACGUUGUAGGACGAAGGCUUUUGAAGUGAAGAGGAUUAGAUACCCUUGUAAUUUAAGCAGAAAAUGAUGAAUGUCAUAGGUUUAAUAUAUACAGCCCAAACAAAAAAAGGGUCGAUGUUUUAUUGGGUCUAUAAAUGAAAGUGUAAGCAUUCCACCUCAAGAGUAAUUUGGCAACAUUGGAACUGAAAUCAUUAGACCGUUUCUGAAACCAGUAGUGAAGUAUGUUGUUUAAUUAGAUGAUACACAAAAAACCUUACCACAAUUUGAAUAUAUAUCAUUAAUGAUAUUUACAAGCGUUGCACGGCUGUCUUCAGUUAAUGUCGUGAGAUUUUGGUUAGUUCCAUAAAAUUAACGUAAACCCUCGUUUUAUUUAUAAAUAAAAUU
rnacentral:rRNA from 1 species